CGGAAAAAUAUGUGAUCUCGAAACGAAAAAUGCAGCCGAGGCAAAGGUGCAAUGCAAUGUGCCAGGCACCGUUGUUCGAGGCCUCAGUGUCACAUGAAACUGUGGAAGCUUGCACAUCUAGUCUCCUCAGUGCAAUAUGAGAGGACUGUCCCAGUUGGUGCCUCCAUAGAAAAUGAAUCGGCCUGAAUGCCUGUGCAAGAAUCACAACCUGGCUGCUCUAAAGGUAAAUGCAUAGCGCAUACAGGAAAGAAUUGGUUUUAUUGGGUGCUUUGUUUUCACUUGUUUGU